rnacentral:vault_RNA from 1 species
GAGCCAGCUCAGCCCAGCGGUUCCAUCAACCAAUGCAUUGCUUAGAUCCCCUAAUUGCUUCCAGUGGUUUGAGACCCACGGACGCUGCCUGGCUUUUUU